rnacentral:rRNA from 1 species
CCGGCUAACUCCGUGCCAGCAGCCGCGGUAAUACGGGAGGGUGCGAGCGUUAAUCGGAAUUACUGGGCGUAAAGCGCAUGCAGGUGGUUGUUAAGUCAGAUGUGAAAGCCCGGGGCUCAACCUCGGAAUAGCAUUUGUAAACUGGCAGACUAGAGUACUGUAGAGGGGGGUAGGAAUUUCAGGUGUAGCGGUGAAAUGCGUAGAGAUCUGAAGGAAUACCGGUGGCGAAGGCGGCCCCCUGGACAGAUACUGACACUCAGAUGCGAAAGCGUGGGGAGCAAACAGGAUUAGAUACCCUGGUAG